rnacentral:rRNA from 1 species
CUGCCUGCCCAGUGACCAAAAGUUAAACGGCCGCGGUAUCUUGACCGUGCGAAGGUAGCAUAAUCAUUUGUCUCCUAAAUAGAGACUGGUAUGAAUGGCAAGACGGAGCUCAACUGUCUCCUCCUCCCCAAUCCGAAAUUCACAAUCCCGUGAAGAGGCGAGAAUUAGCCCGCAAGACGAGAAGACCCUGUCGAGCUGUAGUAGAACCUUAACUCCUCCUAUUCUCUUUACCAAACUAAUCGUGCAAAACUAGUGAAGUAAGGAGACACAGGAGAUUAAGACAAACUUUGAUUGGGGCAAUCACGGAGAAAGAGAAUCCUCCGACACUUUAUAGUUUUAUCUUAAACCUAAAGUAAAGAGACAUAACUCUACAAUCACCAAGUGAAGAAAUGAUCCACUAACAGUGACCAAGAGAAAAAGUUACCGCAGGGAUAACAGCGUUAUCUUUUCUGAGAGUUCAUAUUGACGAAAAGGUUUGCGACCUCGAUGUUGGAUCGGGGCAUCCUAGGGGUGCAGAAGCUCCUAAGGGUUGGUCUGUUCGACCAUUAAAGCCCUACGUGAUCUGAGUUCAGACCGGCGAGAGCCA